rnacentral:lncRNA from 1 species
GACAUCCUCCUGCUGUAGCCGUUCACCAUCUACAGUGCACCUGUGGCAAUGCAUACGUGAAACAACGGUGUUCAGCAGUGCUACUGAGAAGGUACCAAAGAGAUCAGACGUAGCGUUGGCACAUACCAAAGAGAUGAAAUUCUGUCUCCAUGUCUUCAGCUAACCAAAGGUCACAGAAUCACACAGGAGUCACAGAAUUGCAGGGGGUUGUGAGGGACCUCUGGAGAUCAUCUAGUCCAACUACAAGUACUUGUAGGAAUAUGAAGAAUAUUGGAGAUGCUGCUGUGCUUCCAUUCAGUGGAAUUACAUGAUUCAUUAAUAGGGAGCAGAAGUCAUCUGCUGGCAGACAUGCGUUCAUGUCUCUUCUGUGUGGUCCCUGAAGCCCUGCAAACAGGGCAGGGUGUCUACUUGUGGUCUUCAUUAAGGAGAACUGGGACAGAUUAACUGACUUUCUCAGGUCACACGAAGACUCUCCAAUGUACUCCAAAUCUCC